rnacentral:ncRNA from 15 species
UCUAAUGGGUGAAGUAUUUACACAGUAUACAUAAUUGGUCGCUCUAAUUCUGUGUAGCGAAUAGCGAAACCGGCACCCACUCAU